rnacentral:rRNA from 1 species
CGAGUUUAACACAUGCCCGUCGAGGGGAAACAACAUCAAAAGCUUGCUUUUGAUGGGUGUCGUCCGGCGCACGGGUGAGUAACGCGUAUCCAACCUGCCCAUCACUUGGGAAUAACCUUGCGAAAGUAAGACUAAUACCCAAUGAUAUCCCACGAAGACAUCUGAAUGGGAUUAAAGAUUUAUCGGUGAUGGAUGGGGAUGCGUCUGAUUAGCUUGUUGGCGGGGUAACGGCCCACCAAGGCAACGAUCAGUAGGGGUUCUGAGAGGAAGGUCCCCCACAUUGGAACUGAGACACGGUCCAAACUCCUACGGGAGGCAGCAGUGAGGAAUAUUGGUCAAUGGGCGAGAGCCUGAACCAGCCAAGUAGCGUGCAGGACGACGGCCCUAUGGGUUGUAAACUGCUUUUAUAAGGGAAUAAAGUGAGUCUCGUGAGACUUUUUGCAUGUACCUUAUGAAUAAGGACCGGCUAAUUCCGUGCCAGCAGCCGCGGUAAUACGGAAGGUCCGGGCGUUAUCCGGAUUUAUUGGGUUUAAAGGGAGCGUAGGCCGGAGAUUAAGCGUGUUGUGAAAUGUAGAGGCUCAACCUCUGCACUGCAGCGCGAACUGGUCUUCUUGAGUACGCACAACGUGGGCGGAAUUCGUG